UUGUUGGAACAAAUACCGCACAGAAAUCUGAUUGUGAUUUAAAUCUAACAAAAUCUUAUGAUAAAAUUAAUAAAAUCAACUUACCGAUAAUCGCUAAGUCCAAAUAAAAAUUUAAUUGAUCCGGAAGCGUGCGAGGCACUGCCCUAAGGCGUAUUUCCGUCCUUACGUGCGGGAUUAACCGGAAAUAACACCCCAAGGUACGACCGGAAUUCCUCCUCCUGCGAGCACGAUCGUGAAGGAGGUUGACGGAGACUCUUUCAACACCCGAUGAUAAAGAAAUCAAGUAAAUAAACAAUUGAUAAAAAAACUUAAAUUAAAACCCUCUUUUCACUUGUUGUUUUUCCACGGUGUUCAUAUAUCUAUGAACAGUAGAACAAGUGUAUAUAAAUAUAUAUACAGGGGAAUGAGAAAACUUAACGUUGGUAUUCCCAACGUUAACAUUUUCUUAAUUAGCCCUUUUAAUUAGCACCCACAUGAAUGUCCGCAUGGAUUCCAUGCGGACAAGUAGCGCGAGCAUGCGUAACGUCCGCGCGUGCACAGUGCGUGCGGAUGUUCGCUUAAAAAAUAAUAAUAAUAAAAAUAAAUUAAAUUAAUAUUUUAAAAUAUGAAAUUUAGAGAUUUUGAAUUUUCUCCAACAAUACCUUUCUUAUUUUGAAAUUGGGGCAAUAGAAAGUCAGCACAAAAUUCAUUAUAAAACUACAAUGUUUUUUAUUGUAAGAAUAAA
rnacentral:lncRNA from 1 species